rnacentral:rRNA from 1 species
UACGAGGGACCUAGCGUUGUUCGGAAUUAUUGGGCGUAAAGGGUGUGUAGGCGGCCAUACAAGUCAGUUGUGAAAGCCCGGGCUCAACCCGGGAAGUGCUUCUGAUACUGUUUGGCUUGAGUAUUGGAGAGGAUAGUAGAAUUCCAGGUGUAGUGGUGAAAUACGUAGAUAUCUGGAGGAAUACCGGUGGCGAAGGCGGCGAUCUGGGUCGAUACUGACGCUGAGGUGCGAAAGCGUGGGGAGCAAACAGG